rnacentral:rRNA from 1 species
AGCGGUGAAAUGCGUAGAUAUUAGGAGGAACACCAGUUGCGAAGGCGGCUCUCUGGACUGUAACUGACGCUGAGGCACGAAAGCGUGGGGAGCAAACAGGAUUAGAUACCCUGGGAGUCCACGCUGUAAACGAUGAGUACUAGGUGUCGGGGGUUACCCCCUUCGGUGCCGCAGCUAACGCAUUAAGUACUCCGCCUGGGAAG